GUGUCAGCAGCCGCGGUAAGACAGAGGGGGCUAGCGUUGCUCGGAAUCACUGGGCGUAAAGGGCGCGUAGGCGGGGUGGCAAGUCGGUCGUGAAAUCCUCCGGCUCAACCGGAGAACGUCGGCCGAAACUGCCAUUCUUGAGGGAUGCAGAGGAGACUGGAAUUCCCGGUGUAGCGGUGAAAUGUGUAGAGAUCGGGAGGAACACCGGUGGCGAAGGCGGGUCUCUGGGCAUCUCCUGACGCUGAGGCGCGAAAGCGUGGGGAGCAAACGGGAUUAGAAACCCGUGUAGUCC
rnacentral:rRNA from 1 species